AAGGGGCAGUAAGGCAUGGAUAAUCUACCCUGAUGACCGGGAUAGCUGUCCCAACGGGCAGGUAAUACCGGAUGAGCUGGCGGUGCCGCAUGGUACUGCCAGGAAAGGCGCAAGCCGUGUCGGGAGGAAUCCAUGUGAUAUUAGCUAGUUGGUGGGGUAACGGCCCACCAAGGCGAAGAUGUCUAGCGGGUGUGAGAGCACGACCCGCGCCAUUGGCACUGAGACACUGGCCAGACUCCUACGGGAGGCUGCAGUCGAGGAUCUUCGGCAAUGGGCGCAAGCCUGACCGAGCGACGCCGCGUGAGCGAUGAAGGCCAUUAGGUUGUAAAGCUCUGUCGAGGGGGAGCAAGCCGCAAGGUUGAGCGAUCCCUGGAGGAAGCACGGGCUAAGUUCGUGCCAGCAGCCGCGGUAAGACGAACCGUGCGAACGUUGUUCGGAAUCAUUGGGCUUAAAGGGCGCGUAGGCGGGUGUUCAAGUCCGGGGUGAAAUCCUCCAGCUCAACUGGAGAAGAGCCCCGGAUACUGUUCACCUGGAGAGAGGUAGGGGCACAUGGAACUUCCGGUGGAGCGGUGAAAUGCGU
rnacentral:rRNA from 1 species